rnacentral:rRNA from 1 species
GACAGAGGGUGCAAACGUUGUUCGGAAUUACUGGGCGUAAAGCGUGUGUAGGCGGUCUGCUAAGUCGGGUGUGAAAGCCCCGGGCUCAACCCGGGAAGUGCACUCGAAACUGGCAGGCUAGAGUAUCGGAGAGGUUGGUGGAAUUCUCGGUGUAGAGGUGAAAUUCGUAGAUAUCGAGAGGAACACCGGUGGCGAAGGCGACUUUCUGGUCUAUAACUGACACUGAGGCGCGAAAGCGUGGGGAGCAAACAGG